UACGUAGGGUGCGAGCGUUAAUCGGAAUUACUGGGCGUAAAGUGUGCGCAGGCGGCCGAGCAAGUCGAGUGUGAAAGCCCCGAGCUUAACUUGGGAACUGCGCUCGAAAACUACUUGGCUGGAGUGUGGCAGAGGAAGGUGGAAUUCCACGUGUAGCGGUGAAAUGCGUAGAGAUGUGGAGGAACACCAAUGGCGAAGGCAGCCUUCUGGGCCAACACUGACGCUCAUGCACGAAAGCGUGGGGAGCAAACCGG
rnacentral:rRNA from 1 species